rnacentral:misc_RNA from 1 species
AACCUUAUGGACCUGCGGGCGUAUACCUGCGGAAGGAUCAUUACAAGUGACCCCGGUCUAACCACCGGGAUGUUCAUAACCCUUUGUUGUCCGACUCUGUUGCCUCCGGGGCGACCCUGCCUUCGGGCGGGGGCUCCGGGUGGACACUUCAAACUCUUGCGUAACUUUGCAGUCUGAGUAAACUUAAUUAAUAAAUUAAAACUUUUAACAAUGGAUCU